CGGAAACGCGCGCCAUAUUGUUGUGACCGCGCCGCGACUGUGAACGCGUCUCUCAGUGUUAUUUGUUACGUGAUUACUGUCGCUCGUAUUGUUUUGUGAAUGGAAUAUAAGUGUUUAUAAACUGUUACCAAAGUGACCUACGAUGCAAUCAGGGAGUGGUACGAAAAAUCCACCAUGGGCUCGAUCCAACGUGAAUACAAACAUGACCGGCAUGAAUCCUCAAAUAAUGGAUCCUAACACCAUGAUGACUCAACAAGGGAUGAUGCCAUUUCAACAAACACAGGCGGUGUUUAAUCCUGGAAUGAUGCAAGCCCAAGGAGGAAUGGCUAUGCCCAUGGCCGGUCAGAUGCCGAUGAAUCAGAUGGCCCAAGGUCAAAUGUAUCCCGGUAAUGUCGUCGCGUAUCCUACUCCACGUGCGAUGAACCCUGGCAUGUAUCAAAACUCGCAGUCUAACUCGUCUCAACCAAACAGUGAACAGCGUGUGUUCACAGGAACUGUGACAAAGACACACAAUGACUUCGGCUUCGUCGACCAUGAUGUGUUUUAUCAGACGUCGGUCUGCGCUAAAGGUAUCAUUCCAAAAGUAAACGACAGAGUGUUGGUAGAAGCUACCUACAACCCUAACAUGCCUUUCAAAUGGAAUGCUACCCGUGUACAAGUUUUGCCCAAAGGAGGGCCCAAUCCAAAGGGUAACAAUCCAAAAUCUAAUUCAUAUAAUGCAGUGCCGCCACCUUCAAACAAAAAGCAGCCGCCACCACGCCGAAAUAAUGAUGAUCGGCCACCUAGAAGAGAAGAAAGAAAGCGAUCUCGCUCAAGAAGUCGUUCCCGAUCAAGGAUAAGCGGCCGUAACCGCAGAGAUUCUCCUCCUCGCAAGAGGCCUGUAGUUCACCAACCAUCGCCCGUCAAAUACAUCGUCAGAGUUCCUCGCAUACCUCUGGAUAUCCAAAAGAUGGAUGUACCUGGACUUUCUCAAAGAUACACCAAUUUGUACAUCCCUUCUGACUUCUUCAAUGCUCACGUCAAGUGGGGAGAAACGUUCCCUCCCCAAACACCAUUUUCAUUGAACAACCCUUGUGGAUACCACAUCAUGAGCAGAGAAAUUGAUAACCCCAACCCGAAUGACUCCGUGUUGGAGCCUCCAGAUGCAGAUUACAGGUUUUCAGCAAAGGUUAUGUUGAUUAGUAUGCCUACGUUAGAAUCCCUCUAUCAAAAGUGCGGAUUAACCAAAACUGAUGACAAAGAUAAGCGUCUUAGUAAAUCACCAUUACACCCAACAAGACUGAUCAAAUUUUUAGUUGGGCAAAAAGGAAAAGGUGGAGAAAACUUCGCAAUCGGAGGGCCAUGGAGUCCUUCCUUAGAUGGUGAAAACCCACAAACUGACCCAAAGGUUUUGGUGAAAACAGCUAUACGUACAUGUAAAGCCCUAACGGGUAUCGAUUUAUCCUCCUGUACCCAAUGGUACCGAAUGGUGGAGUUUUACUACUGGCGCGAGGGCAGCGGCGGCAAGUCGCGGCUCGAGUGUGUGGUGUUGUUCCUGCCAGACGUGUGGUCUGCGCAACCGUCGCGUAUCGAGUGGAGCAACGUUCAGGAGCAGUAUAAAGCUGCCUGCGACCACGCCUUAAGGAAACUCGACGGCGAGCCGGACUCCGGAGCGCAGCCCGACGCGCCCGCGGCGGCCACGGCGACGGCGGCGGACCCGGCGCCGGCGGAGAAAUCACAAAUUGAGACCUCUGAUCUCAACGAUAGCACGAUAACGAUUGAUGAGAAUGAUGAUGAGGAAGGAAAACCUGAGCCGACGCAUUAUUCAAAGAUUGAUAUCAGAACGAUCAAAGUAGACCAAUUGAGACAAGAAUUGCGGGCGCGAAAUACUAGCUGCAAAGGUUUGCGUGCACAGUUGGUGUCUCGAUUGUCGAAACUUUUGAAAGCUGAGGAAGACAAAGAGUCCAAAGGUGAAGAGGAAUCAAUGGAACUGGAUGAAGACAAUGAACAAGGCAAGGAAAAGAAAUCUGAUGAUGUAGAGGGAAAAGACGAGAAAGAGCCUGAAGUAACAGAACAGAAGAAUGAAGGUGACAAAGAUGAACAGAAAAAGGAUGAGGAAAAGCCAGAAGAAAAGCCAGAGGAGCCUAAAAAAGAGAAAACCGAAAAGGAAUUGGAAGAAGAAAAGAGAAAGUUGGAGAAAGAAAAGCAACAGAUGAAGACCCGCUAUGAACUCCCCACGAGUCCCCACAUCAUUGUGCAUCCCUCAAACUCGGCGAAGGGCGGCAAAUUCAACUGCAGUGUUGCCACUCUCUCCCUUUUGUUGGACUACAGGGUCACAGACAACAAAGAACACAGCUUUGAGCUGUUUGUGUUCGCCGAGUUAUUCAACGAGAUGCUGAUGCGCGAUUUCGGCUUCUACAUUUACAAAACACUAUACACUCUCCCUGAAAAACCGGAGGAGGUGAAAGAAGUGGUUGAGAAAACCGCCGAAAAGGGCGACAAGAAAGAUACAGAUAAGAAAGAUGAUAAGAAAGACGAUAAGGAAAAAGACAAGGCUGACAAACGGGAUGAGAGGCGCGAUUCCCGCCGACGUGGUGACAGGAGGGAGUCCCACAGCGAUGAUGAGCGCAGCAAUUCCCCGCGCCGACGCAGCAGAGGCGUGGAACUACCGGCCGACCCUUACCUACUGCUGUCUCUGGUCUACUUCGACACGUCACGAGGCGGCAACGUCUCAAAGAAAGACCUGCAGAACCUCUUCAUGGGCCUCGGACUCUCGCUGUCGAGGUCUCAGAUCAGGGCUGUGCUUGAGAAAGUGUGCAUCAAGGAUAACUUCAGCUACAAGACUCUGAUUCAAGCCAUCAAAGACCUAGCUUCAGGCACGCCAGAGGCGAUUCAAGACUUGCCGUUGGACACCACGGUUGCGACUACCGAAGUACCGCCUCAUAUUGCUGAAUUAGAAGCAACAAUUGCAACAGGAAACCGCAACUUAUUGCCUGUAUUCAACCGGCCGAGCGACGAAGAAGGACGCUCCGGUGAAACUCAAGAUGUUAGCGACACAGGAGUGGUGAUGUACAAGUCUCGCAUCGUGGACGUGGGGGCAUUAGUAGCGGCCGAGGCCCGCGGGUCGGCCACGCGCGCUCGCCUCGAGUCAGCUUUAGAAAGCGCCCGCGCCGCACUUAGGGCCGCACGCGCCGCCGCCGCCUCUACGCAGCAGGCGGAACGGGGAGCUAAGACGCAGCUGUCUGACCUGUCACAUAACCUGGCGGCUGCGCGCGCAAGGAUCGCGUCGCUCACGGUAACUAUUGCAGUCAUUUAUACACUUAUUUUUCAGUGCUGUGCGCAUCAAUGUUACCUUGCGCAUAGUACCUAUAACUCACGCGCGCUCACCUUGAGUCAGCGCUAGAGAGCGCUCGCGCCGCGCUUAGGGCCGCCCGCGCCGCCGCCGCCUCUACACAGCAGGCGGAACGGGGAGCUAAGACGCAGCUGUCUGACCUGUCACAUAACCUGGCGGCUGCGCGCGCAAGGAUUGCGUCGCUCACGGCGAGCUCCAAAAUAUUCCACUCCGCAUUGAAGAGUAUCCAGUCCAAAGUCGAAGCUGUGGUCAACAUCAAAUACGAAGACGAUGACGUCGUGGAAAUCGUUAACGGCCCCACAAAAUCGGAUGCAGAAACAAAGAAGGAGAAAGUUGAUGAUAAAUCCGACGCUUCAAAAAAAGAGGAAGACAAAAGUGAUUGUGAAGAGGUCACAGUGACAGAGGAAGAAAAAGAUAAAGAAGGUGACGACACCACUGCAACAGGCAUGGACCUUGAUGACAAAGAAUAAACUCUUGCAUCAAGAUAAACAACAAUUAGUUAUUCUUAUACUUAUAGCAUUCAGAAGAAGCAGGAGCUUCUGAUAAGGACACUAAAUUAAAGCUGUAAAUACAAACUUGACUCAGAAUACAAUUUAAUAUUUGAGAUGAUGAGUGCAGUGAAUCUUGUUCAUUAAGUAUAAGGUACUUAGAUUAUUUGCAUUUUUCAUUGAAUCAUUACAAUCAUUGUUUGAUAAAGUAUGGAGAACCAAGUGACAUGUUUUUGAUGGAGUCUUCAAUUAACUUAGAAGUUAUUUAUCCGAGAGGAUAACGCAAUAAUGAUCGAUUUAUUUUGGGGUUACAGGUGAUCCAUUGACACAAAUUUAUUGUGUCACCAUUAUUUUAAUUAUUGUAAGAGUCUGUAGCUUGUAAGUCUUAUGUU